AUGGAGCUUACAAAUGAAUCACCAAUGGCUUCAACAGCUUGCAUCCUCUCUUCAUGCAUAUCUUCUGUCAUAAGAGAAACCUGUGUGUAUGGGGCAUGCAUACUUUGAUAUGACUUGAGAAGCAUCAUAGAAUCAACAAUACCAGCUGAACCUCUCCUAGUAAAGUUUGAAGAUUUUUUGUCUUUAUACAGGUCCAUAUCUUCAGGUUU
rnacentral:lncRNA from 1 species